CGAAGAGAAGUAGAAAUACUCCGAGCAUUGCUGUGUCCCACUUUGUUCAGCUUCAUCCAAAUUUAACUGAAUACUAAGUUUUUAUGGCUUUCUGACAAGUCAACACACACUGGCAACAUUUUUAGCAGCAGCACGUAGUUUCUCUCCCUGGUCAAACAGCCUGUUAGGCCCCAUAAAAAAAACAUAAGUUUAUCAUCCUCGUCUGCAUGCCGAAAUCGGCCCGCAUCAAUUUUUUUAUAUGUUUUUUGGUGGGU